GUUGACCUCGAAUCAGGUAGGACUACCCGCUGA
rnacentral:rRNA from 1 species